UUUUAAUAAAACAAAAUGGUCGAAAUAAAAUGAAGAAUAUUAAAAAAAAGAUAAACUGUGAAAAUAUCUCAAAAAUGAUUUAUCGGAUGGAAAAUAAUUAGCAAGAAUUAUAUAGAAAUAUGCUUAACCAAAGCAUAGCGAGGAAAAUUAUUAAAACCCAUCUGGCAAUGGGGCCGCUUAAAGCACGAAACAAGGGAUACCUAACAUCUGGAUAUAUUGUACAAAAUUUAAGAAUAUUAUCUUAACAAAAAGAUUAUUAUGUCACGCUAAAAGUGAUUCUCUCAGCAAAUGGUCUAAGGAUUCAAACUAAACAGGAUGGAUAGGUAUCUUAAAUUUUCAAAAUAUUACUAAAGCCAUCAGCGGUAGUUGUCAAGAAUGAGGAAGAAAAUGACCAAUUAUUGAAAUGUUAAG